rnacentral:rRNA from 1 species
ACGCACGCUGGCGGCGUGCUUAACCCAUGCCGGUCGAACGGAAAGGCCCUGCUUGCAGGGUACUCGAGUGGCGAACGGGUGAGUAACACGUGGGUGAUCUGCCCUGCACUUCGGGAUAAGCCUGGGAAACUGGGUCUAAUACCGGAUAGGAGCCAUUUUUAGUGUGAUGGUUGGAAAGUUUUUUCGGUGUAGGAUGAGCUCGCGGCCUAUCAGCUUGUUGGUGGGGUAAUGGCCUACCAAGGCGGCGACGGGUAGCCGGCCUGAGAGGGUGGACGGCCACAUUGGGACUGAGAUACGGCCCAGACUCCUACGGGAGGCAGCAGUGGGGAAUAUUGCACAAUGGGCGCAAGCCUGAUGCAGCGACGCCGCGUGGGGGAUGACGGCCUUCGGGUUGUAAACUCCUUUCGCUAGGGACGAAGCUUUUGUGACGGUACCUAGAUAAGAAGCACCGGCUAACUACGUG